rnacentral:rRNA from 1 species
CGCAUCUGUGCAUGCAGCAUAUCAAUAAGCGGAGGAAAAGAAACUAACAAGGAUUCCCUUAGUAACGGCGAGUGAAGCGGGAAGAGCUCAAAUUUGAAAUCUUCAAGGUUUUACCUUGACGAAUUGUAGUUUAAAGAAGUGUUUUCUGUUGAAGUUUUGGUAAAAGUUCUUUGGAAUAGGACAUCAUAGAGGGUGAGAAUCCCGUAUUUGACCAUUAUUUUCAGCUGUGUGAUACACUUUCAAAGAGUCGGAUUGUUUGGGAAUGCAGUCCAAAAUGGGUGGUAAAUUUCAUCUAAAGCUAAAUAUUGGCGAGAGACCGAUAGCGAACAAGUACCGUGAGGGAAAGAUGAAAAGAACUUUGAAAAGAGAGUUAAACAGUACGUGAAAUUGUCAAAGGGAAGCGUUUGACACCAGUGUUGUUUUCUCGAAAAUCAAUUAAAAAGAGUUAGAUUUUGUGUUGUAUUGACCUUAACAGCUUGCAUUUCACUCUUUUCCUGCUUUUUUUAAUGCACUUUUCGUUUAACAAGUCAACAUCAGUUUCUUUUGUUGUAAAAAGGUCAUUGGAAGGUGGCUUUCUUUUCGGAGAAAGUGUUUAUAGCCUUUGACUCCUGCAAUCGGAGAGACUGAGGUCUGCAGCGUAGAUCCUUCGGGGUUAGAUACAUUUGUGCUAAGUUAUAGCUUUUUAUAGACAACUUGUUGACUAUGAUUAGUCUUGUAGCUUACUCGCUUAUGCUAUUUUACCUACGCUUAGGAUGUUGACUGCGCGUGUGUGCGUG